UGUUCCUCCGGGCCGGCAGGGGGCGCUGUUCGCCGUGACGCCCCUCCAGGGCUGUCCCCCACCUGGCGGCCGUGGCCCCGCCCCCCGCCGAGGGGGCCCUGGGGACCCUCCUGCCCCCCCCGUGCGGGGUCUGCGGCAGCCGCCGCGAGAACUGGCUGUGCCUCAGCUGCCACCAGGUGCUGUGCGGGCGCUAUGUCGGGGGGCACAUGCUGAGCCACGGGGGGGCCCAGGGGCACCCGCUGGUGCUGAGCCUGCGCGACCUGGGGGCCUGGUGCUACCCCUGCGGGGGCUACGUCACCCACCCGGUGCUGCUCCCCACCAAGACCUUCAUCUACCGCCUCAAAUUCGGCACUGACCCCCCCGCCGCCUCCUUCUGAGCCCCUCCCCCACAGGACACCCCACCCUCCCCUCCCCCCACUCUUAAAGGGCUACACACGUGCCAUCCCCCCCCCAUCACCAGCACCCCGGGACCCCCAAACCCCCCCUGGGCCAAAGGCUGGGCCGGGCCCGGGGGCGGGGGGAGGGGCAGGGGGGACACCCCCCCCCCCCCAAACCGCGGGGGGGUCCCGGGGCACGCGGGGGGACCCCGGUUUUGUAUCCCCCUCCCCUUUUGGAGGUUUUAUAAAUCCCCUUUGUUACGCCGAGACACCAAUAAAGAGACGGGCCAGGC